rnacentral:rRNA from 1 species
CCUACGGGGGGCAGCAGUAGGGAAUCUUCCACAAUGGACGAAAGUCUGAUGGAGCAACGCCGCGUGUGUGAUGAAGGGUUUCGGCUCGUAAAACACUGUUGUAAGAGAAGAAUGACAUUGAGAGUAACUGUUCAGUGUGUGACGGUAUCUUACCAGAAAGGAACGGCUAAAUACGUGCCAGCAGCCGCGGUAAUACGUAUGUUCCAAGCGUUAUCCGGAUUUAUUGGGCGUAAAGCGAGCGCAGACGGUUGUUUAAGUCUGAGGGGAAAGCCCAGAGCUUAACUGUGGAGGUGCUUGGGAAACUGGAGACUUGAGUGGGAGAGAGGAGAGCGGAACUCCAUGUGUAGCGGUGAAAUGCGUAGAUAUAUGGAGGAACACCAGUGGGGAAGGCGGCUCUCUGGACUGUAACUGACGUUGAGGCUCGAAAGUGUGGGUAGCAAACAGGAUUAGAUACCCUGGUAGUC